UGCCAGCAGCCGCGGUAAUACGGAAGGCCCGAGCGUUAAUCGGAAUCACUGGGCUUAAAGCGUGCGCAGGCGGACCGGCAGGCAUCCUGUGAAAUCCCACAGCUCAACUGUGGAACUGCAGGGUGAACCGCCGGUCUCGAGGCAGGUAGGGGUGAGUGGAACUAUGGGUGGAGCGGUGAAAUGCGUAGAUAUCCAUGGGAACGCCAAUGGCGAAGGCAACUCACUGGGCCUGUCCUGACGCUCAGGCACGAAAGCGUGGGGAGCGAACGGGAUUAGAUA
rnacentral:rRNA from 1 species